CAGUGGGGUCAUGAGAGCAGGCUUAGGGACUCGGGAUGAGGAUGUGGAAAGACUGUAAGAGCUGGUGGAUUGGAUGGUGAGGGGAGCUGUGGAAUGCUGUCUUCUGGACAAGACAUGGCUGUUGCAUACAUCAAACUCUCCAUAGCAGCUGUGAUCACAUGCCUUAGGAAAGGUCAAGCUAGUCAAGACCCCAGCUUGGAUGAGGAGGGGACUCCUGAAUGCUCUCCCUGGAGGGAAGAACUAUUGGUCGUUGAUGGGUGCUGAGAGAGGACAGUCAUUCGCUUCUGAGGAUGCAGCCAUUGGUGGAAACUAAACCCAGGGCCUUGCCCUUGCCAGAUGGACACUGCUGCUGAGCUGCUGAGCUGCUGAGCUAAAUCCCUAGCCUACAAUGUUCUUCUUAUCCCAAUGUGAGGGAUAUAUGUUCUUCCUUGGAGUCUUCUUCAAUUCCUAUCACCCAUGCUAUGUCAACAAGAGAACUUACUCCUAUUGGUGAGAUUUCCCUCUGCCUGUCUUGCCAAUCUAAAGACCAACUGACCUACAGGUAGAGUAGGAGCUAAGCUCAGACUCCUUUACUCAGUCUGGAACCCCACAGCUGCUUGCAUUUAUCACCUACUGAGUGGCCUCCAUUUCAAGAUCUUUGCCUACUCCAAACUGCCCAAUUGUUUUCAAUAAGGGGAAUUAAUGUUGCCGAGAAUCAAUGGCUCUCAGCUCUGAUAAAUGGAGAAAGAAUGAACUUGAAGGCUUUAGCUGCUAUACUUUGCUCUUAGCCUUGUCUUCGGCUCUGUGUUCUAUUUGUCACGAUUUGUCACGAGCUGUCUUCCAGCCCUGGUGUUUCUGUUGUGAUUUUGCCUGAGAUUUGCAAGUGCUGAUUCAGUCAAUAGUUUA